GAUGAACGCUGGCGGCGUGCCUAAUACAUGCAAGUCGAGCGAACAGACGAGGAGCUUGCUCCUCUGACGUUAGCGGCGGACGGGCGAGUAACACGUGGAUAACCUACCUAUAAGACUGGGAUAACUUCGGGAAACCGGAGCUAAUACCGGAUAAUAUAUUGAACCGCAUGGUUCAAUAGUGAAAGACGGUUUUGCUGUCACUUAUAGAUGGAUCCGCGACGCAUUAGCUAGUUGGUAAGGUAACGGCUUACCAAGGCAACGAUGCGUAGCCGACCUGAGAGGGUGAUCGGCCACACUGGAACUGAGACACGGUCCAGACUCCUACGGGAGGCAGCAGUAGGGAAUCUUCCACAAUGGGCGAAAGCUUGACGGAGCAACGCCGCGUGAGUGAUGAAGGUCUUCGGAUCGUAAAACUCUGUUAUUAGGGAAGAACAAAUGUGUAAGUAACUAUGCACGUCUUGACGGUACCUAAUCAGAAAGCCACGGCUAACUACGUG
rnacentral:rRNA from 1 species